CGAAUGUACAGGCUCCGGUCGUGAUAAAAAAUAAAACAAUUUUACCGAAUAUGGAAAUGUAAGAAGUUUGCCAUUAAAAGCUUAAUCUCAAUCCAAUUGAAAAAAAUGAAAAAAACUUUCGUCUCAAAAUGAGUUUUACCAGUGUUCGAUCUCAAGAUCGACCAUUAAAUUUUCACAGAAUAUCAGAAGUAUUUGCAACAUCGAGGAAUCCAAGGAUCCCAGAAAUGAGGCAUGGAGCUCGUGCAUAGACGAUGUACGGGAACGAGUAGUUUUAUCGCUAAGAUCCUGCACGAGGUUGGAAAGCUAGUGCUCUUUGCACGCUCAACAACCGUGAAGAGAGCAUCCAGGAGCAGAGAAAGAGAGCUCGGAAGCGCGCGGGCGAGAGAAGAGCAACAAACUUCGUAAAAGGUUCUCGAGGGGGAUUUAUCAACGACGUGGUACAUCGCAAUGGUCGGGGAGCGGGGUCGGCGUCACGGUGAUUAAUCGUGAAUGAUAAUUUUUGUUUUCCGAAUGUCUACCGGAAACGCGUGGAGAGAUCUCACGCGAAAAGAAAGGUGCAGGACCAGUUGUCAAUUGAAUUUAUGAUACAAUUACAAGCAGUUUCGUUCCCGAUAGAACGAGAAAUGUCCUCAUAUGCAAAUGACUCGAG